GUGAUCGCUUUGGCAGUACAUAUACUAAAACUGGAACAAUACAGGGAAGAUCAGCAUGGCCCCUACUCAAGGAUGACACGCAAAUUCAUGAAGUGUUCCAUAUUUUU